AAUUCAUUCAAGGAUCCCUUCACAAUAUCACUGUUGGUCACCUGACCUCUGUAAAAUACCUUCAGUGAUAAGUCAAACAACACAGCUGUAAGUUGCUGAAUGCUGUGAGUGACUUUUACCUUUAGAGAAAAGAAUGUUGCUGAGUUAGGAAGGAUUUGUAUAUGACAUACCAAAGUCAACUUUGACCAGAAUUUUAUGGGGAAAUACUUAACUCCAUUUUACACAAUAACACAAUCUGAGGGGCUAUUAGCUUUCACCUAAAAGGCCAUCUGGCAGUCUUUGAUACUGUCAUUAAAAGAAAGUGG
rnacentral:lncRNA from 1 species